UAGGGAAUAUUGCACAAUGGGCGAAAGCCUGAUGCAGCAACGCCGCGUGCGCGAAGAAGGCCUUCGGGUUGUAAAGCGCUUUUCGGGGAGAUGAGGAAGGACAGUAUCCCCGGAAUAAGGCUCGGCUAACUACGUGCCAGCAGCCGCGGUAACACGUAGGAGCCAAGCGUUAUCCGAAUUCACUGGGCGUAAAGCGCGUGCAGGCGGCACGGCAAGUUGGAUGUGAAAGCUCCUGGCUCAACUGGGAGAGGACGUUCAAUACUGUCGAGCUAGAGGACGGCAGAGGGAGGUGGAAUUCCCGGUGUAGUGGUGAAAUGCGUAGAUAUCGGGAGGAACACCAGUGGCGAAGGCGGCCUUCUGGGCCGUACCUGACGCUCAGACGCGAAAGCUAGGGGAGCAAACGGGAUUAGAAACCCCGGUAGUCCUAGCCGUAAACGAUGUAGACUUGGUGUAGGUGGUGUAAAAGCCAUCUGUGCCGAAGCAAACGCGAUAAGUCUACCGCCG
rnacentral:rRNA from 1 species